AUGAGGGUCCCAGUGCAGCUCCUCAGCUUCCUACUGUUCUGGUUCCCAGGUGCCAGGGGUGAUAUCCAGAUGAGCCAGUCUCCAUCUGUGUCUGCAUCUCUGGGAGAGAAACUCACCAUCACCUGCAAGGCCAGUAAGGACAUUAGCAAUCAUUUGAACUGGUAUCAGCAGCAACCAGGGGAAGCUCCUAGUCUCCUGAUCUAUGGUACUUCAAGAUUAGCUUCUGGGGUUUCUUUCAGGUUUAGUGUCAGUGGAUCUGGAAUUGAUUUAUUUCUCACCAUCAGCAGCCUGGAGUCCAAAGAUUCUGCCACUUUUUACUGUCAAUAA